rnacentral:rRNA from 1 species
CCUUGAGAUGAGUUUUCCCUGACGCUAUAAGCGUCCUAAAGGGUUGUCGUAGACUACGACGUUGAUAGGCAGGGUGUGUAAGUGCUGCGAGGCAUUGAGCUAACCUGUACUAAUUGCCCGUGAGGCUUAACCAUACAACACCCAAGGGGUUU